CUCCAUAAAUUAAUACAUUUCUUUACACUCAUAUUUUCUCUCCAUUAAUAAAUUAUUUUACCCCAAUAAUUAUAACCCAUCUCUCUCCCUUACUAGUUUAUUAAUUGAAAUUUUUUUGGUCAUCCGAAUUGAACCCAACUGUUUCAAAAAGCGUGAUUCUUGGUCUUCCUAACUGCGCCAUUGAUCGUGCUUCUGGAGCCUUCUUUGAACAACUAUUUUGUGUUGUCAUUAAGUCCUGAAUCAUGUGGAGAACAAUCCAUAUUCUCCAUUGUUUUGGGUUCUCUUUGCUCUCUAAAAAUUAUUCUCUCUCUAAAAAGAAACCUUCUCUUCUUUGAAUUUUGUUGCAUAUUUGUUUUAGUAAAAGCGUAGAUUUCUCUAUUGUUAUUCUCGUGCAGGGGCUAGGUAAAAGCAAGGCAGAAAGUUAGAUUUCGAAACACAACAAUCAUUGGUCGUUCCUUAAAAACAUAAAAGUUGUGUGGAAGUAUGCACAAUCGCACGUUAAUGUUGCAUUGACUAUCAAUUUCCACAAAAAAAAAGAAAGAAAGAACAAAAAGACUUUAAAAUUAAGUACUCAAGUGGACAAGAUAUAGAUGUCCCAGCCUCCCAGGUUUCUUAAACUUUGAAGAGUAUACUCUGUUGAAUGAAAGCAGAGCAAAAAUACAUGCAAUGCAUAAGAAAGAAGAAACCUAAAAGUGACAUGAUCGCUAGAAGCAUGUAGGAACGAACAUCAUAAUCAAUUGCGAUUUCCAUGCUUGUCAUGUUCAUUGUAUAGAACAUUAUAGCUCCUUCAGAAGAACAUUAAGCACCUUAUCCAGGCAAGAAGCAGAACCGACAACUAAGAAACAGAAGAAACUGGUUUAUGUAAUCUUCUAACAAAACAAUUGCAAUAAUUAAUUAUGCAUCACACUGUAGAGUUGUGAUGGCACCCAUGUCUGAAUCAUCAGAGCUUAAAGAGCAGAAAGUACCUCUUUACAUGCUUGAUAUGACAUUCACCAGGGAAGAAAUAUCGGUAAUCUCUUAUCAACAUUCUGAUCCUCUAGUAUUUAUUUUAGAAAUUGAUGAACAAUCAAUUCGUAAAAAUCAAGGCGGUUGAGUAAGCUACAAACCCAUCAUUGGGUUCUUUGGAGAAUUAAUUAAGUCAGAAGGGUGGAUGACCCUCACAAAGACAAUCAUUGAUGAGGAAGAAGUCACAGUAAUUGUCCUUCAAGAGUUGUACGAUAUUUAUUCACCUAAUAUAUAUAAUUUCAUAUUAGCUAGAAAACUAAUGGUAGCAAUAAUUAGCAUAUUCUCCACCUAGAAAACUAAUGAUAGCAAUAAGUAGCAUAUUAUCCACUUAUCACCAAACCCUUUUAUUUAUAGAGGAGGAUGGUCAUAUUGGACGAGUUAAGGGAAACUAGAGUGUUGCUUGUUGGGGUGUUCUUUGGGGGUACUCGCCAUUUCAGGUACCUGAAAAGCCAAGUAUUUGGUUAGUCGGGUACUUUUUUAACGACUUAUGUCCCGGCCUAAUUAAUGGGGGUACCCGGAUUUUAGGUACCCAAAUAAGUGGGGUGAUUUUUUUGGGCAGAUUUCAUAUUUAAUUAUAUGACAAUUUCAGUGAGUAAAAUCUGGGCAAAAUAUAUACAGAAUUUUGACGGCCAAAAUUUUGAAAAUUAAGUAGUAUAAUUUGGACAGAAGUUUUAAUUGUAAAACUACAUCACUAUCGUUUUACCUCUUAUCUCACCAGUAAAAUCUCGAUUCCAAUUGAGUUCUAAACUACAUGGACAAAUAUCCAAAAAGGCAUUUUCUAAAUUAGAAGCAAAUCCACAUCACUGUCAUUUUACCUCUUAUCUCACCAGUACAGUUGGUGCUCUUCAUCUCACAAUUACUGUAAACAGUAAUUAUGAUUCUGAACAGUGCAUCUGUCUUAAAGUAUUUAAGAAAUCUAAAACAAGACUCUUAGAUUUAUCAUUUAAUCUUAGACAAUAAAAUGCUCCCUUCUAUUCCUCCCAUUAGUCCCAUUUGACUUUUCACCAUUUUUUAGGUUGGUCAAAUGAGACCACUUAAAUAGGAGAGAGAAAGUGAAUUAGUAAAUUGUUAAUGAUUCCUUAUUAGAUUAAUGAUUCCCUCAAAAUUUUAAUUUUGCCUCCCAAUUUCUGAAAAUGGAUAAAAAAAUCUAAAAAUUCAUGAAUGAAUUAAAAAAUUCUUAAAAUUAAACAUAACAUUAAAAAUCUGAUACAAGUCGUGACUAAUACAUUCAUGAAUUUAUAUAUUACGUAGUUCGCCAUACAUUAAAAUUAACAGUUCCAACAACGAAAAAUAAAAUUACAUAGAUCGACUACUUAAUUUCCCCAAGCUUUUUCAACUCUUCAACAGCAUCGGAAUAGUCGUAGUCUUUGCUGCUCAUGUGAUGCAUUAAAAUUAGGCCACAAAAUUAAACCAAACAACCACAUUUGUCAAAUCUUUUUGUUUCAUCAAGUAUUCAAAUGUCCAAAAUUUUCAAAAACUAAAAACAGAAUUCGAGAGGCAAUAACACAAAAUACUCCAAAACACAAUUUGAGAGGAAACAAUCAAAAAAUGAAAUUCUAAAAUAUCCAAAUCUAAAAACAAAAUUCUGGAGGGAAUAAACAAAAAUAAGCAAAAUAGAAUUUGGGAGAGAACAAUAAAAAAAUGAAAUUCCAAAAUAUCCAGAAUAAUUAGAGUAAUCAUCAGAUUCAUCAGGAUAAUUAGGGUAAUCAUCAUCAACCCUUUUAGGGUUAUCAAGAUCAACCCUUUUAAGGCUAUCAUCAAGAAUCUUACCAGUGUUCAUCAAACCCACAAAAUCAUCAAGAACAAACCCAGAUCCUGAAACGAAAAAAAAAAAUCAAGAACAAACUCAGAUCUUGAACAAACAAAGAAAAAAAAAGGUAAAAAAUCAACAACAAACCCAGAUUUUGAAAAACAAACCCUCAGAUUUUGAACAACAACCCCACCAAAAUCGAAAAACAAACGCACAAAAUAAUCAAGAAAAAACCCAGACCUUGAAAAAAAAAAAAAAAAAAAACCAAAUCAUCAACAACAAACCAAAAAAUCGAAGAA